rnacentral:rRNA from 1 species
AUUGAACGCUGGCGGCAGGCUUAACACAUGCAAGUCGAGCGGAGAUGAGGUGCUUGCACCUUAUCUUAGCGGCGGACGGGUGAGUAAUGCUUAGGAAUCUGCCUAUUAGUGGGGGACAACAUUCCGAAAGGAAUGCUAAUACCGCAUACGUCCUACGGGAGAAAGCAGGGGAUCUUCGGACCUUGCGCUAAUAGAUGAGCCUAAGUCGGAUUAGCUAGUUGGUGGGGUAAAGGCCUACCAAGGCGACGAUCUGUAGCGGGUCUGAGAGGAUGAUCCGCCACAAUGGGACUGAGACACGGCCGAGCCUCCUGCGGGAGGCAGCAGUGGGGAAUAUUGGAGAAUGGGGGGAACCCUGAUCUAGCCAUGCCGCGUGUGUGAAGAAGGCCUUAUGGUUGUAAAGCACUUUAAGCGAGGAGGAGGCUACUGAGACUAAUACUCUUGGAUAGUGGACGUUACUCGCAGAAUAAGCACCGGCUAACUCUGUGCCAGCCGCCGCCGUAACAC